rnacentral:tRNA from 1 species
GCGCCCGUAGCUCAGCUGGAUAGAGCAAUGGACUUCUAAUCCAUCGGUCGCAGGUUCGAAUCCUGCCGGGCGCGCCA